GAAACUGUAGUUUAAAUAAAACAUUAGCAUUGGAAGUUAAAAAUUAGGUUAUAAUCCUACAGUUCGAC
rnacentral:tRNA from 1 species